UAUGGCUUCUCCUUUGUAUGAACUCUCAGGUGUUUCCUCAGGUCUGAAGCUCUCAAAAAUGUUUUGUCGCAUUGAUCACAUGCGUACAGUUUCUCUCUAGUGUGGAUGUUCAUAUGUUCCUUAAGGUGUGCUGAUUGUGUGAAACUCUUCCCACAUUGAUCACAAGUGUAUGGCUUCUCUCCAGUAUGAACUCUCAUAUGCCCUGUAAGGUGUCCUUUUCGUGUGAAACUUUUCCCGCACUGAUCACAUGUAUAAAGUUUCUCUCCAGUGUGGAUCCUCAUAUGCUCUGUAAGAUGUCCUUUUAGUGUGAAACUCUUCCCGCAUUGACCACAAGUGUAUGGUUUCUCUCCAGUAUGAACUCUCAUAUGUCCUGUAAGGUGUCCUUUUCGUGUGAAACUCUUCCCGCACUGAUCACAUGUGUACGGUUUCUCUCCAGUGUGGAUGUUUAUGUGUAUCUUAAGGCUUGAUGACUGAGUGAAGCUCUUCCCACACUGAUCACAAGUGUACGGUUUCUCUUCAGUAUGAACUCUCAU